rnacentral:rRNA from 1 species
AUUUAUUAGUUUAAUGAAGUUUUUAGUAGUUAAAGGCUUAUUCAAAAUAUUGGGUUUCUUAUUAUUGUUAAAGAAUAGAGGUUUUUAUUUAUAGUGUAUAGUAUAGGGAUAGAAGGCUUUUAAAUUUAUAAAAGAAGAUUUAAUUUUUCGUACCUUGUGUAUCAGGGUUUACUAAAAAAAAUUAAUUAGUUAAUUUUCUCGAAUUAUGAAGGGUUAUUGGGAUAUCUUAGUUAUUGUAGCAAAAAUAUUUAAAAUAUUUUAAUAGAAAUGAAACGUUAUUCGUUUCAUAAUAUAUCUAGUUUUUUAGGAAAUAAAUUUAAUUUAAUGUCUUGUUUUAUUUAAAUAAAUUUUUAUUUGAAUAUUAAGGGAUUUAAAUGGUCUGAGGGAUGAGCUUUAGGCCAAAUAAUUACAAUGGCUUAAGAUUUGAUAAUAAGUAGGAUUAGAAUUUUCCAUCUUUUAAGGAUGUUAUAAUUUAUUAUUGAAUUUAAAUUAUUUAUAUGUCAUUUAAGUUUUUUACUAAAAUUAAUUCUUUAAUUUAAAAGGAUUUGUAAUAAUGGUAGAAUUAGUAAAGGUUUGUUGUUUAUAAUAUUUAUAAUUGAAAGGUAAGGGUAAGGAAUUCGGCAAGUUUACUUUUCACCUGUUUAAUAAAAACAUGUCUUUUUGUUAAUUAUUUAAGGUUUGGCCUGCUCCAUGAAUGUAAUUAAAUAGCCGCAGUAUUUUGACUGUGCAAAGGUAGCAUAAUCAUUAGUUUUUUAAUUGAAAGCUGGAAUGAAGGGCUGGAUGAGAAAGUUUCUGUCUCACAAUUAUUUUAAUUGAAUUUUAUAUUUAAGUUAAAAAGCUUAAAUUUUAUAGAAAGACGAGAAGACCCUAUAGAGUUUAAUAGAUUUAUUUUACACUUAGUUUUAGGUUUAAAUUUAAUUGUUAAUUAUUCUAUUUGGUUGGGGUGACAUAAGAAUUGAAUUAACUUCUUAUUAUAAUAACAUUGAUUUAUGAAUGCUUGAUCCUAUUAUUUAGAUUGUAAGAAUAAAUUACCUUAGGGAUAACAGCGUAAUUUUUUUAGAGAGUUCUUAUCGAUAAAAAAGAUUGCGACCUCGAUGUUGGAUUAAAGUUAGGUUCUGGUGCAGAAGCUAGGAUUUUAAGUCUGUUCGACUUUUAAAACUUUACAUGAUCUGAGUUUAAACCGGUGUGAGCCAGGUUGGUUUCUAUCUUUUAUAUACAAAAUAUCUUAGUACGAAAGGACCAGGUAUUUAAAUAAGAUUUUUUAUUUGAAUAAAAUU